rnacentral:rRNA from 2 species
CGGAUUGGAGUCUGCAACUCGACUCCAUGAAGUCGGAAUCGCUAGUAAUCGUGGAUCAGAAUGCCACGGUGAAUACGUUCCCGGGCCUUGUACACACCGCCCGUCACACCAUGGGAGUGGGUUGCAAAAGAAGUAGGUAGCUUAACCUUCGGGAGGGCGCUUACCACUUUGUGAUUCAUGACUGGGGUGAAGUCGUAACAAGGUAACCGUAGGGGAACCUGCGGUUGGAUCACCUCCUUACCUUAAAGAA